CCUACGGGUGGCAGCAGUGGGGAAUAUUGGACAAUGGGCGAAAGCCUGAUCCAGCCAUGCCGCGUGUGUGAAGAAGGCCUUCGGGUUGUAAAGCACUUUCAGUGGGGAAGAAAGCCUUGGGGCUAAUACCCUCGAGGAAGGACAUCACCCACAGAAGAAGCACCGGCUAACUCCGUGCCAGCAGCCGCGGUAAUACGGAGGGUGCGAGCGUUAAUCGGAAUUACUGGGCGUAAAGCGCGCGUAGGCGGUCUGAUAAGCCGGUUGUGAAAGCCCCGGGCUCAACCUGGGAACGGCAUCCGGAACUGUCAGGCUAGAGUGCAGGAGAGGAAGGUAGAAGUCCCGGUGUAGCGGUGAAAUGCGUAGAGAUCGGGAGGAAUACCAGUGGCGAAGGCGGCCUUCUGGACUGACACUGACGCUGAGGUGCGAAAGCGUGGGUAGCAAACAGGAUUAGAUACCCGAGUAGUC
rnacentral:rRNA from 1 species